GUGUGCCUGGUAUGUACAGUCAAGUCACUGGUACCUGAAAAGAUUCAGUGAAGCACCAAAGUUUGAAACAAAAUAGCUGAGUAUAUACUGAAGCCCUCCUUUUAAGUCCUCUGGGAAAUCCAAUUACGCUUUUAACAGUCAUUAUACAUGCUUAAAUAUCUGUCCUGUUACAUGUGUUACAUAUGCACACCAUCUGCCUGCACAUGAACAUCUGUGAGCCAGGUUCUGGCCUGCUGGUAAAACACACUGUGAAAAAUCAGGGUGGACUUUUCUGCAUUAUGAGAUGCAUAUCAACCAGUUCAUCCUCACUGCUGCUUGGUUUAAGGCUGCCUAAAUUGCAUGUAGAAGCAUCAACAGCACCAGGACUGGUACAAAGCACUUACAUUGGUGGUUGCUCUAUUUUGACACCAGGUUCUCUGAUAAUCCAAAACUGAUGGAGUAGCCAUUUGCUUACAUCCGCUUUCUG